GAGUAUCUGCCUUACAUGCAGAAGGUCCCAGGUAGAGUAUCUGCCUUACAUGCAGAAGGUCCCAGGUUCAAUCCCUGGAAUGUCCA